UCUGUGCUGCUGGUUACUUUGUAAAGUCUGGGGGUCUGUGGUCAUGAGAUGCAAAUUCAGCUUUAACAAAUCAAAAUGAGGAUAUCGGAAUGGUCAUUCAAUAUAUUUAAAUUGGAUUUUGAUUUAUCAUGUGACAAACAACACUCGUGAUGUAGGUGUGUUUAACAGCGAUCACAAAUCGAAAGUGUUUCAAAGACUUCCUGGUGCACACGACCGUCUGAACUACUGCAAGACCUGCCCACAACAGGGAACUAUAAUGAAUAUUCAUGGAUGCUCCACCAACUGAAUAUUACACAACACUGGGUUAUGUGAAUUCAGACAGGUCAUGAUGAGCAUCUGAUUGUUUUCACAAACCAGUCUGUUUAGCUGCAGGAUGUCAGAGGAGCCGAGGAAAGGACUCUCUAUCUGAGAUGAGUCUCU